UGAAUACGAGAUGCUACGGCGUCGAAGCAGUCUAUGUCAUACUUCCAAGAAAAGCUCGCACUGUCAUAAACAAAUAAUGCCUGUACCAUAACCGACACAGGUGGGUAGGUAGAGUAUACUAAGGGGCGCGAGAUAACUCUCUCUAAGGAACUCGGCAAAAUGACUCCGUAACUUCGGGAGAAGGAGUGCCUUAUUUAUAAGGUUGCAAUAACAAGAUCCAAGCAACUGUUUAUCAAAAACACAGGUCUCCGCUAAGUCGUAAGACGAUGUAUGGGGGCUGACGCCUGCCCAGUGCCAGAAGGUUAAAGAAGUUGGUUAGCAUUCGCGAAGCUGAUAACUGAAGCCCUGGUGAACGGCGGCCGUAACGAUAACGGUCCUAAGGUAGCGAAAUUCCUUGUCGGGUAAGUUCCGACCCGCACGAAAGGCGUAAUGAUUUGGAUACUGUCUCGGAGAGGGGCUCGGUGAAAUAUACUUGUCUGUGAAGAUGCGGACUACCUGCACCAGGACAGAAAGACCCUAUGAAGCUUUACUGUAACUUGAGAUUGAAAUUGGACUUUACUUGCGCAGUAUAGGUGGGAGGCGUUGAUAAUAUUCUUGCGGGAUUAUUUGAGCCAUCAGUGAGAUACCACUCUUGUAAUGUUAGAUUUCUAACUUUGUAUCAUUAUCUGGUCAAAGGACAGUUUCAGGCGGGCAGUUUGACUGGGGCGGUCGCCUCCUAAACGGUAACGGAGGCGCACAAAGGUUUCCUCUGAACGGGUAGAAAUCGUAUCUAGAGUGUAAAGGCAUAAGGAAGCUUGACUGUGAGACCUACAAGUCGAGCAGGGACGAAAGUCGGUCUUAGUGAUCUGACGGUGCUGAGUGGAAAGGCCGUCACUCAACGGAUAAAAGUUACUCUAGGAUAACAGGCUGAUCUCCCCCAAGAGUUCACAUCGACGGGGAGGUUUGGCACCUCGAUGUCGGCUCAUCGCAUCCUGGGGCGGUAGUACGUCCCAAGGGUUGGGCUGUUCGCCCAUGAAAGCGGUACGCGAGCUGGGUUCAGAACGUCGUGAGACAGUUCGGUCCAUAUCCGGUGUAGGCGUUAGAAUAUUGAGAGGAGCCUUCUUUAGUACGAGAGGACCGAGAAGGACAUACCUCUGGUGUACCAGUUAUCGUGCCAACGGUAAACGCUGGGUAGCUAUGUAUGGAGUGGAUAACCGCUGAAAGCAUCUAAGUGGGAAGCCCACCUCAAGAUAAGUAUUCCC
rnacentral:rRNA from 1 species